rnacentral:lncRNA from 1 species
UGUACAGAAAACCAUCUUAUGAAUCCAUUAUUAUCCCAAAAUGGUCUUCAGAUCCAAUGAGAUAUAAAAUAUCUGUCUUCAGUUUUUAUUUUAGAAGAGCUAGUAUGUAUAUCACUGACCAACAGGAAAUGGAGAAAGAGUUUAAAUACAUCUACCAAAUAGGCCACCAGCAUGGGUAUGAUAUAUGCUUUUUGCAAAACAUUUAUCAUGGAACACAACAGCCCCAUGCACCUCAAUUAGAAAACAGGAGAAACCAAAUUCUUUAUGUCUUUCCUUACCAGGAGAAACCAAACUAAUCAAGGUUUUGUGCAGGUACCUUAUGCAACGAAGGAAUGCAUAAAAAUUAACAUAUAAAAGGCAAUCAAUGAUUUAUAGUCAGCUUAGGAAUGAGAUAGAACCUAAGAAGAACAUGCAAAAAUCAGGAUUCUACAGGAUACCCGUCAGAAAUACUAAAACAAGGGAACAACAAGCUUAUAUGUGUUACAACAAAGACUUUAAAUUAGAGACUACAAGAACAUAAAAGGGAUAUAGCUAAUGCUGAAUUGAACACAGCCCUAAUAAUGAGUGUGUAUGAUAAUGAAUUAGAAAUAGAUUGGCAGGAAACCUGAGUAAUAAAAUCAUUGGGUAAGAUGACUCAUGCAACAUUAGUGGAGACUCUUGAAAUAUUUACGAAGGACAAAGAAGAGCAGCUCUUAAAUGACCGCCCUGCAAUGGAACUAGCCACCCCUUGGAAAUAUCUGCUUAACAAGAUUGAGAGUUGGUUGAAGAAUGUUUUAUUUUUAUGAACUAAAUUUCUAUGUUUUUCAUUGUAUAAUAACUCCGUUUUA